AUGGCACUGACGGAUUUCAGAUCUGAUGCACGAUUUUCGAGAAAAAGGAAUUUUAUCGAAAAGAGGAUUUUCGCUCUUUGCUGUUCUUGCAUAAUGAGACUCCUCGUGCUCUACGUUUGUGACCUGGGGUUAGGUGAGAGUUGUUUCUGGUACCUACUGGUGGUAGGGAAUUCAAAUUUGAAUUUGGAUUAAAGGUUUUAGGGUUUAUACAUAGGUCUGUGUAAUUUAUGGAUUAGUUGGAGAGCAGAUGGGUUUGGUCGCAAAUCGGCAAGUAAAUCGGAUGAAACGAAAUCGUAGUUUCAUUGCCUUCGUCGUGCUGAACGCGAUGGUGCAAUCCGUUCGGAAAUCCGAUGAACGGAUUGCCGGAUAUUGCAUGAAGUUCGCUAAGGGGUCGAGAGUGGAAAAUCGGGAAAUUCGCAAAGUCGUAAUAUUUUAUGUACUGUAUCGCGCGAGAUCGAUUGUGGAGGUGUAAAAGCGCGAGAGUUACACAUUGUGAAGGACUAGGUUUGAAAUUUGUAGUUUCGGUGGACUUUGUG
rnacentral:lncRNA from 1 species